rnacentral:rRNA from 1 species
UCUUGGUCAUUUAGAGGAAGUAAAAGUCGUAACAAGGUUUCCGUAGGUGAACCUGCGGAAGGAUCAUUACCUUUGGCUGCCGUGAGCGCUUCGGCGUGAGCGACAGUCAUUCUAUAGUGACGCCUCCGUGUCCGGGAAACCGGCGCGGGGCUGACCUAACCCUUCUCUACGAGUACCUAUUAUUCUCCUUCGGCGGGGUCUACCCGCCGCUGGAACUUAAGAACCAACUUGCAUUUAGCAUUACCUGUUCUGAUAACAAUUAAUUAUUACAACUUUCAACAAUGGAUCUCUUGGCUCUGGCAUCGAUGAAGAACGCAGCGAAAUGCGAUAAGUAGUGUGAAUUGCAGAAUUCAGUGAAUCAUCGAAUCUUUGAACGCACAUUGCGCCCCAUGGUAUUCCGUGGGGCAUGCCUGUUCGAGCGUCAUCUACACCCUCAAGCACUGCUUGGUGUUGGGCGUCUGUCCCGCCUUUGCGCGUGGACUCGCCCCAAAGUCAUUGGCAGCGGUCUCUGGCACCUCAACGCGCAGUACAAUGCGUUCAUUGGGGUGCCGUGGGCGCGACCAUAAAGCUAUUUACAGUCUUUGACCUCGGAUCAGGUAGGGAUACCCGCUGAACUUAAGCAUAUCAAUAAGCGGAGGAAGUCU